GCUGGUUGACUGGGGCAGCCCAGAACACUGGGGAGACUAGAUCGAUAGGGCUGCACAGAGGUGGCACAGUUGUGCCAGAGGUAGCAGGGACAGGAGGGCUGGCAAGGGAGGGUCCAGGGCUAGGGGAUUCGGAGUGGCUUCAGGCGGACCACGUGGCUACCUUUUUUCCAGGGCCAGACUUUGGCAGCGUGUAAGGUCUGAGGACAGGGGCACCGGAGGCCGAGGAUGAGAGGCCAGUGCCUGUUUCCAGGCAGCCAGGGCCUCAGAAACUCCGGCCGGAGCACUCACCCGUCGGUGGAGGCCGUUACCAGGGCCACCUUAUUUGCGAGCGGGUCCCGGCGGGUCAUCCCGGAGCUGGCCAUCCGCACCGAAUUCCAAGCCCGGGCACAGAGGCCUAGCAGCCCCGCCUUGUGCAUGGAUCAGACCAGCAAGUGCCACUUCGGAUAAACCCUUUGGACUCCUAACUCCAAUCAGGUGUCUGCUUUGUUGAGGACUCACAGACACAGUCUCCUUUCUUCAAGAUCUUUACAAUGCAAGACCUCACUAACACACAGGGAUGGUCUCCCAGAGGGUCUGUGCUGUUCCUUCACUCAGAACAUCAAGAUGCACUGAAGUAAGGAUCCUCUAUUCUACAGUUCCUGCUAGCUGAGCUAUUCCAUGGGGGCUUCAGCAGGAAAUUCCAAGGUUGGCUUUGACAAGCUAAGGCCGGCUGGUGGAGCACAUCGAGUUCUGGAGGUUCAUGUGUGUUUUCAUGAAGAUCUGUCUGCCCGUAGCAGAUAAAGAGUUGUUGCCCCACUCCUCCUGGGGUCUUCUAUUUUCCUGGGAGGAAUUUCUGGAUUAACUGAACACACACACACACACACACACCCUUUUGAAGCAUCAACAGUAAUUCUGAGUUCUUAGGGACAAUGCAGAUUAAAUCCACAAUAAGAAAGACAACUAUGGCCAGGUGUGGUGGCUCACGCCUGUAAUCCCAGAACUUUGGGAGGCUGAGGCGGAUGGAUCACCUGAGGUCAGGAGUUAGAGACCAACCUGACCAACAUGGAGAAACCCCGUUUCUACUAAAAAUGCAAAAUUAGCCGGGCAUGGUGGCAGGCGCCUGUAAUCCCAAAUACUCGGGAGGCUGAGGCAGGAGAAUCACUUAAACCCGGGAGGCAGAGGUUGCAGUGAGCCAAGAUCGCGCCAUUGCACUCCAGCCUGGGCAAGAAGAGCAAAACUCCAUCUCAAAAAAAAAAAAAGAGUACUAUUGAUCCAGAGGUGACCAGACUAGCCUCACUGGAGAUAAUAGGUGACAUUAUUAUGCAAAGUGGUUUCAGUUCCCUUGUCUUGUUUUUGGAAUAGUAUAAGAGGCCUACAAUACGAAUAAAUAAGGCCCAUCACAAGCCUCACCAAAGGACAAAACUAAUCCACUUCUGAAGAAGGCUCUUUGUUGGGCCAGAUCAAAUCCUUGGACAGAACUGUACUCUUAAUCUCUGUAGUGAAAGUGGGGGGUAGUUUAAGAAUUUAUUAACCUUCUACCUUGAGCAAUCCCUCAGAAGUAAGAGGUGUCAGGCCUCUGAGCCGAAGCUCAGCCAUUGUAACCCCUGUGACCUGCACAUAUAUGUCCAGAUGGCCUGCAGGAGCCAAGAAGUCUGGGGCAGCUGAAAAACCACACAAGAAGUAAAACAGCCAGUUCCUGCCUUAACUGAUUAACCAACAUUACAACAUUCCACCAUUGUGACCUGUCCCUGUCCUACCUUAACUGAUCAAUCGACCUUGUGACAGUCUUCUUCUGGACAAUGGGUCUUAUCAUCUCCCCACCAUGUACCUUGUGACCCCCUCCUCUGCUAACAAUAGAUAACCACUUUUUACUGUAAUUUUCCAUUACCUACCCAACUCCUAUAAAGCAACCCCUUCCCCAUCUCCCUUCACUGACUCUGUUUUCAGACUCAGCCCACUUGCACUCAAGUGAAUAAACAGCCUUGUUGCUCACACAAAGCCUGUUGGUGGUCUCUUCACACAGAUGUGCUUGACAAAAGGGAAGGGUGGAUUUGUCCUUCUGGUUACAUAUGUUCUGCUCACUCAUUUUGAAUUUAAUUAAACAAGGAUUGCCCUUACCUUUUCAUACUUUGUAAGAAACCAUAAAUACUUAUGCACCAUGAUUUUUUUAAAGAAACACUUUUUAUUUUGAAGUAAUUAUAGUCUCAUAGGAAGUUGCAAAAGUAGUACAUAGAGUCCCUGAGUACUCUUCCCCCAGUGGUGACAACUGUAGUAUAAUAUCAAUUCUGGGAAAUUGACAUUGGUACAAUACCAAAUAUACUAUGCCUUUUUCUCUAAGGCAUGAUGUUGCAGUAGCAUCCUUGUACAUGUAGCUAGGAGAACUUGUACUAAGCCCAGAUAAAUAGUUGAAGUACAAGGGCAAGGAGUGUGUCUUUGAUAUUUUAAUAGAAAUCACCUAUUGCCCUCUAGAAAAGCUGUACCCUUUUCCAGUGGCAGAGAACCUUCCUGAAAGGCAGUCCUGUGUAAUGGUGUCCAUUUCAUCACACCCUUAAAACACUCAGCUUUAACAAACAUGCAGAUUUUUGCUGAUGUGGGAGAAAAUAUUAAUUAUUAAUGAUAUUAAGGUGAUUAUCUUUUCGUAUGUUUAUAGAUAUUUGUAUUUCUUUUUAAAUGAACUGCUCAUGACCUUUGUCUACUUUUAUUUGGGUUUACUUCUUUCUCAUUUAUUCCUAUAAACUCUUUAUAAAAGGAAAUUAACCAUUUGAUUGUCAUAUGUUGUGAAUAUUUUUACCAUUUUGACUUUUGAAUUUAUGUCUUUUUAAUGAAUUGUAGAAGUUUAAAAUCUUUAUGGAAUAAAUUUAUUUAGUUUUUUGUUUAUGG
ensembl:lncRNA DHRS4-AS1 DHRS4 antisense RNA 1